rnacentral:misc_RNA from 1 species
GCCUUCUUGGCCUUGUAAAAUCGUAAUGCAUCAUUUGCAGUUAAUUUUUUUUUCCUUCAAUUUUUUUUCCUCUUUUUAUUGCUUGUUAAGUGACGAAACUCAGAAAUUAUUAAUUUGUGUGCCAUUCUAUUAAUUAAUCAUAUAAUAGAUAUGCAUUAAUUAGAGUAUCCAUUCCCCAUUUUGGGACUGGCAAAAGAUUAAUUCCCUCGAGUGUUGGAUGUGCAAAGUUAGACUCUCUUCAAGCU